GGGUCCUGGGGGCGCCGCCGUCCCUCGGGCCGGGCAACGCCGGGCGGGGACCGGUCUCGCCCCGCCGCGCUCGGGCUCCCUCCCCGGCGGCCCCUCCUCGGCGAACAGCCUUUCGGCGCGGGGGGCUGUUAAACCAGACACCCCAGGCCACACUCCUCUCGUUCGAAAUGACCAUUUCGGGGUUCUCCGUGGCGGGGAGCUCCGCCGCCGCCGUCCCCCUUCCACGCGCGGGAGGUCGGCGAGGGCAGGGCGGGGACCCGGAGUGCGGCCCCCGGUCCUGCUUCGUGGCCCGAAACGCCUCGCAAUGGAGUCACUCAUGACAGGGGACUCAGCGCACGGGGCGGCUGCUGAGCCCCGCAGCGAUCGGCGGGCGUGAGGGGUUCCCCGGCGUGGUUGCCCGGGAGCCUGUCAGCCCCAGCAGCCCUGACAGGAAAGGGAAGUCGAGAGGAGGCUGAGCGAACGGCCGCCACCCCCGCGGGACGCUGACCCGGGCGGACCCCGAGGGGCCUCUCCCCGCGCCAGAGCGCGGCGUGCGCGGGGAAGCGCGACCCACCGGGGUCGGCGACGGCGCGCGGGGCGGGCGCGGCGGUUCCCUCUCCUCCGCCCGUGCCCGUGGGAUCGGCGGGCUUGUCGGGCUGGGAGAGCCUCGUGGAACCCGGGCAUCCGGGCAGCAGCGGCCUCCGAGCCACUGUGGAGGCGCCCGGGGUCGGCACGGCGAGGCCGACGGGGACCUGACACGGUCACGCGGCGCCGGGGAGCAGGUUCGAGUGGCCGGGCGUGGCCGUGCUGCCCCUCCGCGUUCCGCAGGCGGCGACGGGCGAGCGGCCCUAGCGGGCUGCAGGGAGGACGCCGCGUGGACGGAGAGCCGGCGCCCGGGGGCCAGAUCCCCUCCCGGGACGGGGCGCCAGGUCCCCGCGAGCUGCGGCGCGACGCGCGGGCACCCGUGUCCCACCCGGUGGCCUCGCCGCUGCGGGCUGCGCUGAGAGCGGGGUGGCGCGACGCGGUCCCUCACCGCAGGGGGAAGACGGCACCACCGCGUCCCGGCCGCUGGAGCUUCCCGCCCGCGCCGCCGGCCCGACGCUGCCCCCUGGCGGGAGAGCGCUGCAGGGGCCCCGGCGAGGCCGCAGGACCCGACCUCCCCGCCGGCCUCGCACUCCCGCGCCGCCGCCGAGGGUCGGCAGCCGGAUCGCCCUCCGUGCCCCAUAGCACCCCUCACACUAAAAACGACGACUUUAUUAAGAUGUGAGAUACAGGGUCUCUGUCGCCCAGGCUGGAGUGCGGUGGCACGAUCUCGGCUCACCGCAGCCUUGAACUUCUAGGCUCCAGCGAUCCUCCUGCCUCAGCCUCCCGAGCAGCUGGGACCACAGGCCCCGCCACCAUGCCCGGCUCAGUUCCAUGACUUCUGACACGCGAAACCACCAGGCUAGUCUCCCCCCGAGUUCAAGAAGUCCUCUCCUCCCAAAAGUACCCUCCUGCCCCUCUGCAGCUAACCCCUCACCUCCCCUCCGCCCUGGUUCCAGACAACUGCUCCUCUGAUUUCUGUCACUGCCCUUUGCCUCUCUCGCAAUUGCAUGCAAGGAGAACCAUUCACCGUGUGGUCUUUUGUGCCUGGCUUUCUUCGCUUGGCACCAUGCAGCUGAGCGUCGCCCGUGUGGCGUGUGUGUGUUGUAUUUUCCUCUACCUUGGUCUUGAGACCUCCCUGGAGAGCCACUGUAAAGGCCAACUCUGCCCUGACAGGGCUCCUGGGAUUUGGGCGUGGGUGUUUGCCGUGGGCCUUUCAUGGGGCACCUCUGUAUCCUGGCUGACCUGUGACCGGGUGUCCCUCUCCCAGGAGACAUAUUUAUCCUGGCAGAUCUCCUUGUGCUUCUUGUCUGACCUGUAUCUAGUUUAUUCCUACCAAGAUAGCUGCUCUCUAGGGAAAGCCCUGACCAGGGAAAACGUUACGUUUGAGCGUCUCAGUCAGGCAUGACACAGAGCAGGCAACACAACGAAACACAGGAACUAACAGAAGUGGUCCUAUUACUUACAGAUCCACAGGGGAAGAGGGCACACUGAGGGCCGUCGGGAAUGUCUUGGGGACACUGUACACAAUCGUUGUGGGGGUGGGGGGAGCCAGAGAGAGACGGACCUGUGGGCUGAGGCUUUUAUUGGAGUGCAGGGCAUUACUCAAGCAGUUUUCCCAAGGGGAGCUCUAAUUGGUUCACCUAGAGGAGCGAACUGGAGUCCUGUGGGGCCACCUUGUGACUUAGGGGUGGUCACUGAGACAUAUCUGCAUAGUCCAUGCAGGGUGUGGGCGUCAGUGGGGUGAGUCUAGUUGGUUGUAUGUAUACAUCCCACAAGGAGGCAGUUACCAGGAGGUGGCUACCUAGGACCAGAUAUCUGGACGGAAUGUGUUGAGAUACUGUUUCCAGCAGAGAGCUGGAAACUGUAUCCAAGGUGACUAAGCCCUGCUUCUAGUAUGAAAUUGUUAACCCUAUAUUCAAAAUGGAUACUGAAGCAACCUAAAAUUUCAGGUAUUUACUAAAGUGUGUAUCAAGUUCCCUCCUUACCACUGGUGAGUAGUAUUCCAUUGUAUGGAUAUGCCACAGGCUGUUUGUCCAUUUGGACAUUGAUGGAUGGACUAAAGUUGGCCAAGCUGGGCUGGUGGGGAGGCACCCUCUCAGGACCCCAAAGGAGGAUGCGGGGUUGUUGUUGGAUGUCUGGGUUGUUUCCAGUUUGAAGGCAUUGUGAAUAAAACUGACUUGAGCCUUCCUAGAAAGUUUUUUGAAUAUACAUAUGUUUCAUUUCUCUCGGAUAAAAUGCCUGGAAGUAGGCGGGAUGGCUUGGUUGCAUGGUGAGUCUUUUUUUAAAAAAAUUUAUUUAAUUAAUUAAUUAAUUAAUUUUUUUGAGACGGAGUCUUGCUCUGUAGCCUAGGCUGGAGCGCAGCGGCACCAUCUCAGCUCACUGCAAGCUCCGCCUCCCGGGUUCAGGCCAUUCUCCUGCCUCAGACUCCCAUGUAGCUGGGACUACAGGCGCCUGCUACCAAGCCCGGCUAUUUUUUUUGUAUUUUUAUCAGAGACAGGGUUUCACUGUGUUAGCCAGGAUGGUCUCGAUCUCCUGACCUCGUGAUCCAUCCGCCUCGGCCUCCCAAAGUGCUGCGAUUACAGGCGUGAGCCACCACACCCAGACUUUUUUUUUUUUUUUUUUUUUUGGGAUGGAGUCUCGCUCUGUCGCCCAGGCUGGAGUGCAGUGGUGCAAUCUUGGCUCACUGCAACCUCCGUCUCCUGGGUUCAAGUGAUUCUCCUGCCUCAGUCUCCUGAGUAGCUGGGAUUACAGGCUUGCGCCACCACACCCAACUAAUUUUUGUAUUUUGGGAGAGAUGGGGUUUCACCAUGUUGGUCAGGCUGGUCUUGAACUCCUAACCUUGUGAUCCAUCCGCCUUGGCCUCCCAAAGUGCUGGGAUUACAGGUUUGAGCCACUGCGCCUGGCAGCAUGGUAAGAAAUUGUUUUUCAAAGUGGUCAUACUAUUUGACAUUACCACCAGCAAUGCAUGAGAGCCCAUAGCAUUCUAUGGUUUGUCUUUUCAUUUUCUUUUUUUCCAUGAGACAGGGUCUCAUGCUGUCUCCCAGGCUGCAGUGCAGUGGUAUAAUUGUAGCUAAAUGCAAUCUCGAACUCCUGGGCUCAAGUGAUCCUCCCACCUCAGCCUUCUGAGUAGCUGGGAUGAUAGGCACACGCCACUAUGCCUGGCUAAUUAUUUUUAUUUCAAUUUUUUAUCUUUAGUAGAGAUGAGAUCUCGCUAUGUUGCCCAGGCUGGUCUUGAACUCCUGGGCUCAAGUGAUCCUACUGCCUCAGCUUCCCAAAAUGCUGGGAAUACAGGUGUGAGCCACCACACCCACCUGUUUUUUCAUUUUCCUAAUGUUAUCUUUCAAAGAGCCAAAGUUUCUAAUUGUGACAGCGUCCAAUUUAUUAAACAUUUUCCUUGAUUGCCUACCUUAAGGUAAGGUUGCAAAUAUUUUCUCCUAUAUUUUCUUCUAGAAUUGUAUAGUUUUGGCUUUUUGUUUAGGUCUAUGAUACACUCAAACUAACUUUAUGGGUGGUGUGAGGUAAGAAUCAAGGGUCUUAUUUAUUUAUUUAUUUAUUUAUUUAUUUAAGAUGGAGUCUCAUUGUCUCCCUCUCCCUCGCCCUCGCCCUCGCCCUCGCCCUCGCCCUCUCCCUCUCCCCACGGUCUCCCUCUGAUGCCGAGCUGAAGCUGGACGGUACUGCUGCCUGAUUCUCCUGCCUCAGCCUGCCGAGUGCCUGCGAUUGCAGGUGCGCGCCGCCACGC
rnacentral:lncRNA from 1 species